GCCCGGGUGGCGGAAUUGGCAUACGCGAAGGACUUAAAAUCCUUUGUCUUCACAGACUUGUGGGUUCGAGUCCCACCCCGGGCA
rnacentral:tRNA from 1 species